GCCCCGGUAGCUCAGAGGAUAGAGCAGCUGCCUUCUAAGCAGCGGGUCGGGGGUUCAAUUCCCUCCCGGGGCACCA
rnacentral:tRNA from 1 species